rfam:Ictidomys tridecemlineatus contig010825, whole genome shotgun sequence.
AGGGAUAAAGCUCAGUAGAUAGAGUGCUUGCCUCAUAUGCAUAAGGCCCUGGGUUCAAUCCCCAGCACCACAA